CCCACGCACCUUUGUUGGAUCUGCAAUCCCCCGGAACAGUGCUCAUUUUGAAAGAAAAUAUCGUCGAAGAUUGCAAGUUUGCCUCGGUAUCACUCCAAAAGCUUACAUCAGAUUACUGCGAAUGGGUCAUUUUAUUUAAGAAAUUGAAACCAAAUCUUCAACAGUACACUAGGAAUUUUUUAUUUGAUUGGUAUUUGAUAUCUGUGAUGAAUCAACUCUCAGAUACCAUUGUUGUUAACCCAUUGAAUUACGCUGUAAAUUGUUUCAUUAGCCAUAGUAGAAACUCUACGGAUUCACCUCCCUUGCUGAUAUCUUUGAUAAGUGAGAUAUCAACUGUUUCCAUGGUAUCUGAUUCUUCCAUGAUAUCAUGGUUUCCAUGGUAUCAAAAUUUGACUGCUGCAUAUUGUAAAUCUGAAAUAACUUGAGUGGAGUGAAGAAUUUUUCACUGAUGAGAAAAAAGGGAUUAAACGUCUUAUUUUAGAUUGAAGUAUAUUAGUAAGGAUCAAAAAUGGAACUCAAGCAAUCUUCGUACACGGAAGACAAUGGAAUGAGCCGCAUUACCGCAUCUAGAAUGAAGGAUUGAUUGAGCAAUUGGACGCAGUUUUUCUCCACUUCAUCUAAAUUAAAGAGGAAGAAACUGCUUUUCCAGCGUAUGGACGAAAGAGGUUCUUUCAUGAUGUGUAGGUGAGUUAUUUAGCAGGUAUUACGUAAGUAUAGAUAAAUAUUACUUUUUAGUAUACAUAAUUUCUGGUAUGUGGUGUCUUGAAUCAUUUAGUUAUUGAUCGAAAUUAUUAGUUAUUUAGUUAUUAUUUAGUUAUUGAUAGAUCAUUAGGUUUAUUUUUUAUUGUCUGUAAAUAAAGAGGCAGAGAUCUGUUUUUGGUUUCGGGUUUAGUCGAUUCGAAUUUCAAUAAUGGUAUUGAACCUCACUGGGAAAAAUAUAUUCGUAUUUUAUUGUUAGAAAAUCUUUAGUAGUCACUUUAUUAUUAAAAUAUGUGAUAUAAUUAAAUUAAAAAUGAACUUUAUCAUAAACUAAAUAGUAUUUAUUGUUACACAUUCUUGUUAUUUAUCAAAAUUAUACACAUUGAAAAAGAAAAAAUUAAUACUUAUUUCUUCCAUAUUUAUUGAGUCAUUUUGUCUCAAACCUCCUUAACAAUGGGAUAUAAGGUCCUAGCUAAUUAUUUUCACUAGGUACAAAACAUUUAAUCCUUUUUUGUGCUGUUUAGUUGUUAAUUUUUUGACAGCUCGAAUGCAACUUGUGUACACUGUUUUCUUUUGUG